rnacentral:tRNA from 1 species
GUCGAUAUGUCCGAGUGGUUAAGGAGAUAGACUCGAAAUCUGUUGGGCUUUGCCUGCGCAGGUUCGAAUUCUGCUGUCGACG